GACGAACGCUGGCGGCGUGCUUAACACAUGCAAGUCGAACGGUGAUGCUCCAGCUUGCUGGAGUGGAUCAGUGGCGAACGGGUGAGUAACACGUGAGCAACCUGCCCCAGACUCUGGAAUAAGCGCUGGAAACGGCGUCUAAUACUGGAUACGAAACUGGCCCGCAUGGGCAUGGUUUGGAAAGUUGUUCGGUUUGGGAUGGGCUCGCGGCCUAUCAGCUUGUUGGUGAGGUAAUGGCUCACCAAGGGGAAGACGGGUAGCCGGCCUGAGAGGGCGAACGGCCACACCGGGACUGAGACACGGCCCAGACCCCUACGGGACGCAGCAGUGGGGAAUAUUGCACAAUGGGCGAAAGCCUGAUGCAGCGCCGCCGCGUGAGGGAUAACGGCCUUCGGGUUGUAAACCUCUUUCAGCAGGGAAGAAGCGAAAGUGACGGUACCUGCAGAAGAAGCACCGGCUAACUACGUG
rnacentral:rRNA from 1 species